rnacentral:tRNA from 1 species
GGCCUGAUGGUCUAGUGGUAUGAUUCCUGCUUUGUAUGCAGGAGGCCCCGGGUGUAAGUUCACCCAUUAAGAUUCGAUAUCUUGUACAUGAAUUCUAAUAAGCGUACAGUCGAAUCCCGGUCAGGCCC